rnacentral:snoRNA from 1 species
CCGCAGCCAAUGAGUCCACCAGGUUCUUGUCUUCAUGGGGACCUGGUGUGCAAUGGCUACACACAGCAGCCCCGUUGGUAGUGUUGGCAGUCUCUUGCCUAUCUGAGCUGUCCUAAGGGACUUUGGAAACAGCU